GGGUGUGACUGCGUACCUUUUGUAUAAUGGGUCAGCGACUUAUAUUCUGUAGCAAGGUUAACCGUAUAGGGGAGCCGGAGGGAAACCGAGUCUUAAUUGGGCGUUAAGUUGCAGGGUAUAGACCCGAAACCCGGUGAUCUAGCCAUGGGCAGGUUGAAGGUUGGGUAACACUAACUGGAGGACCGAACCGACUAAUGUUGAAAAAUUAGCGGAUGACCUGUGGCUGGGGGUGAAAGGCCAAUCAAACCGGGAGAUAGCUGGUUCUCCCCGAAAGCUAUUUAGGUAGCGCCUCGUGAAUUCAUCUCCGGGGGUAGAGCACUGUUUCGGCUAGGGGGCCAUCCCGGCUUACCAACCCGAUGCAAACUGCGAAUACCGGAGAAUGUUAUCACGGGAGACACACGGCGGGUGCUAACGUCCGUCGUGAAGAGGGAAACAACCCAGACCGCCAGCUAAGGUCCCAAAGUCAUGGUUAAGUGGGAAACGAUGUGGGAAGGCCCAGACAGCCAGGAUGUUGGCUUAGAAGCAGCCAUCAUUUAAAGAAAGCGUAAUAGCUCACUGGUCGAGUCGGCCUGCGCGGAAGAUGUAACGGGGCUAAACCAUGCACCGAAGCUGCGGCAGCGAACGUAUCACCCAAGACAACUUUACGGAGUUGACGAUUGACGGAGCGAAGCGACGUCAAAGCGUUCAUUAAAGUCGAGUUGGCUUAGGGAUACGUUCGUUGGGUAGGGGAGCGUUCUGUAAGCCUGUGAAGGUGUGUCGUGAGGCAUGCUGGAGGUAUCAGAAGUGCGAAUGCUGACAUAAGUAACGAUAAAGCGGGUGAAAAGCCCGCUCGCCGGAAGACCAAGGGUUCCUGUCCAACGUUAAUCGGGGCAGGGUGAGUCGACCCCUAAGGCGAGGCCGAAAGGCGUAGUCGAUGGGAAACGGGUUAAUAUUCCCGUACUUGGUGUUACUGCGAAGGGGGGACGGAGAAGGCUAUGUUGGCCGGGCGACGGUUGUCCCGGUUUAAGCGUGUAGGUGUGUGUUCCAGGUAAAUCCGGUUCACUUUAACACUGAGGCGUGACGACGAGGCACUACGGUGCUGAAGCAACAAAUGCCCUGCUUCCAGGAAAAGCCUCUAAGCAUCAGGUAACACGAAAUCGUACCCCAAACCGACACAGGUGGUCAGGUAGAGAAUACCAAGGCGCUUGAGAGAACUCGGGUGAAGGAACUAGGCAAAAUGGUGCCGUAACUUCGGGAGAAGGCACGCUGACACGUAGGUGAAGUGAUUUACUCAUGGAGCUGAAGUCAGUCGAAGAUACCAGCUGGCUGCAACUGUUUAUUAAAAACACAGCACUGUGCAAACACGAAAGUGGACGUAUACGGUGUGACGCCUGCCCGGUGCCGGAAGGUUAAUUGAUGGGGUCAGCGUAAGCGAAGCUCCUGAUCGAAGCCCCGGUAAACGGCGGCCGUAACUAUAACGGUCCUAAGGUAGCGAAAUUCCUUGUCGGGUAAGUUCCGACCUGCACGAAUGGCGUAAUGAUGGCCAGGCUGUCUCCACCCGAGACUCAGUGAAAUUGAACUCGCUGUGAAGAUGCAGUGUACCCGCGGCAAGACGGAAAGACCCCGUGAACCUUUACUAUAGCUUGACACUGAACAUUGAGCCUUGAUGUGUAGGAUAGGUGGGAGGCUUUGAAGUGUGGACGCCAGUCUGCAUGGAGCCGACCUUGAAAUACCACCCUUUAAUGUUUGAUGUUCUAACGUGGACCCGUAAUCCGGGUUGCGGACAGUGUCUGGUGGGUAGUUUGACUGGGGCGGUCUCCUCCUAAAGAGUAACGGAGGAGCACGAAGGUUGGCUAAUCCUGGUCGGACAUCAGGAGGUUAGUGCAAUGGCAUAAGCCAGCUUGACUGCGAGCGUGACGGCGCGAGCAGGUGCGAAAGCAGGUCAUAGUGAUCCGGUGGUUCUGAAUGGAAGGGCCAUCGCUCAACGGAUAAAAGGUACUCCGGGGAUAACAGGCUGAUACCGCCCAAGAGUUCAUAUCGACGGCGGUGUUUGGCACCUCGAUGUCGGCUCAUCACAUCCUGGGGCUGAAGUAGGUCCCAAGGGUAUGGCUGUUCGCCAUUUAAAGUGGUACGCGAGCUGGGUUUAGAACGUCGUGAGACAGUUCGGUCCCUAUCUGCCGUGGGCGCUGGAGAACUGAGGGGGGCUGCUCCUAGUACGAGAGGACCGGAGUGGACGCAUCACUGGUGUUCGGGUUGUCAUGCCAAUGGCACUGCCCGGUAGCUAAAUGCGGAAGAGAUAAGUGCUGAAAGCAUCUAAGCACGAAACUUGCCCCGAGAUGAGUUCUCCCUGAGACUUAGAGUCUCCUGAAGGAACGUUGAAGACGACGACGUUGAUAGGCCGGGUGUGUAAGCGCAGCGAUGCGUUGAGCUAACCGGUACUAAUGAACCGUGAGGCUUAACCUUACAACGCCGAAG
rnacentral:rRNA from 1 species